AAACAAAAUCUGUUGCGUGAGAGUGCGGAUGUGCCAAAUACCAUUAGCCAAUUUGACUUUCCAUUUGCUCUUCCCUAGAUAUAUCAACUUGUGCAUUGGUUCAUUCAGGUUAAACAAUGGCAUAUUCGGAAUUACAAGUACCUGAAAAAGCUCAGCACUAUUUGGUGUGUGGCAUCAAAGACUGUGGGAGGAACUCCCAGUUUUACUGCAAUCCUUGUCACCAACCAAUGUGUAAACCAUGCAAUGACAAACAUCAGAAGAGUCCAGACACUAAGAAUCAUGAAGUGGUCCCCUACCGACACAGCAAAGAUCAACUUCCUGUAGAGAAGUGCAGGGAUCAUCCCACUAAGGAUCUAGACAUUCUCUGUGAUGAAUGCAAUGUCCCCCUAUGCUCCAAGUGUUCUACAAUGCUUGUCCACAGGGGCCAUGCCUUUACUGACUUGGAGAUUAUUUAUACAGAACAAUCUGAAGCAUGUCGUCAGGGAAUCCAAAAUAUUCAAAUGUACUUCAUCCCAACGGCAAAAGAUUUGCAAAAUGAAAUAAAACUAGAGGCCACAAAAAUAAAGACAAUCAUGGAUGACAUCAGAUUAUUCAUGAGAGAUGAAGCCAAGUCUUUCAAAACAGUGGUAGACGAAGUGACGUCAGAUAAUAUAGAACAAAUCAACAAAAUGGAAGAGUCACUAAAGGAGAUGCUUCAGAGUCAAGACAAAAUAUACCAAGAUUACAUUUCUUAUCUUAAGGACGUAAUAAAGCAGUUCCAUGGCUACCUGUCUUCUUCUCAACUUAAAAAUUUAAAGCCAUGGAGACUACUUCUAAACACGUAAAACCUACAGGGAAACAUGAGAGUGAGAAAUAUGCCGUAAAACUAAGACUGUCGUCCUCUGUCACCAAGGUCAGGGAGUAUGGAGUGUUAGGUGUUGACAGAGUAGAUCAUAUAUCACUAGGUAAAUCAAGUUCACUCUGGGUCAGUGAUUAUUGUAGUAGUAACAUUGUCCAAACAGAUCAAAAAGGUAAUCAGCUACAGAGGAUACACACUAAGGAUGGUAGAUAUGUAGGGAACCUAACAGUCACACAGGACGGUGUUCUUAUCUAUACAGACAAACACAACAAAGUCAUCAACAGGAUAACACUGAAUAAUACAAUCACCGAAUUCAUUAAAACGGGAGACUGGACGCCACUCAGCAUUCACUCCUCCCGCACUAACGGGGACAUCCUAUUGGGGAUGAUUAAAGAAGGAAAAGGUAAAGUCACCAGAUACAACAAGACAGGGAAAGAAAUACAAAACAUAGAGAGGGACAACAAAGGACAGGAACUGUAUAGUUAUCCACACUACAUCACAGAAAACAUUAAUGGUGAUAUAUGUACAUCAGAUUUGAUCAAACAGGCUGUAGUGGUAGUGAAUAAAUCAGGACAACACAGGUUCUCCUACACAGGUCAGGGGUCAGAGUUUUACCCCCGGGGAGUGUGUACUGAUCGCCUGGGUCACAUACUGGUGUGUGAUAUUUGCAGUAACACAGUUCAUCUUUUGGACCAGGACGGGCAGUUUUUGUGUCUCCUUCUCAAACAACAACAAGGAGCAUGGUCUCCAUGUAGUGUGUGUGUGGAUGGCGAGAAUAAUCUUAUUGUGGGACAUUGGACAACCAACACCGUGACAGUAUACAAGUAUCUACAGUGAUGUUGUAUUGUUACAAUAACAACAAAUCAAACUGAUUUAAAAACUAUAUAUUACUAUUAAAUUUAGCUUAGAUUUUAAGGCAUGGAUUGUUCAGGUAUCAACUAUUUCUUAAAUUUUGUUUUCAAUGCAUAUGCAUGCAUACCAUUCAAUCACACCACACAACUCAUAUACAAGUUGAAAAAGUGUUCACUAAAUUAUAUGUGAUUAAGUUUUAUUAGAAAUUAUGCAUCAAAGAGGCAUGCCUAUUUUGACCAUUAUCUACUAUAAAAUCUAUUCUCCAAUAUUAAUUUUUCUAAGGAAUAAUAAAUUUGUAAAUAUUUCACAAUAGCAUCAGAUGAAAUAUGUUAAUCUCUUUUUUCUGGAUUAGCCAAAAAUAUGUCUCUUAACUAACAUGAUUAUCAAUUCAUAGCAGUGCAUUUUUUCACCAGACUUUCUAAAAAUCAAAGCAGACAUUAAUGACCAUAUUUGAGAAAUAGAUUGAUAAUAGAAAAAGAUAUGGGAAACUUUCUCUGGUUCUAAAGAACGUAUUGAACAUAGUGGGGCUUUUAAUUUUACACAUGUGAAGUAUUGUGUUUGUACCCAAUGUCUGUAAAUAAUUAAAUUAUAUCAAUCCUGUAUCUUUUGUAGCAGAUCUAUUGUUUAAAUGAACUGUUUCCUAUUAAAAUCUAAAGGUAAAUU
rnacentral:misc_RNA from 1 species